rnacentral:rRNA from 1 species
AUUGAACGCUGGCGGCAGGCCUAACACAUGCAAGUCGAGCGAGCGGCGGACGGGUGAGUAAUGUAUGGGGACCGCCCGAUAGAGGGGGAUUACUACUGGAAACGGUAGCUAAUACCGCAUACUAUCGGAUAACCCAUAUGGGAUUAGCUAGUUGGUGAGGUAAUGGCUUACCUAGGCGACGAGCCCUAGCUGGUCUGAGAGGAUGAUCAGCCACACUGGAACUGAGACACGGCCCAGACUCCUACGGAGGCAGCAGUGGGGAAUUUUGGACAAUGGGGGAAACCCUGAUCCAGCCAGCCCGCGUGAAUGAUGAAGGCCUUCGGAUUGUAAAGUACUUUUGGCAGAGAAGCGGUAUCUGCAGAAUAAGCAACGGCUAACUACGUGCCAGCAGCCGCGGUAAUAC